rnacentral:rRNA from 1 species
GAUGAACGCUGGCGGCGUGCCUAAUACAUGCAAGUCGAGCGAACAGACGAGGCGCUUGCUCGGCUGACGUUAGCGGAGGACGGGUGAGAAACACGUGGAUCCCCUACCUGUAAGACUGGGAUCACUUCGGGAAACCGGCGCUAAUACCGGAUAACAUGCUGCACCGCAUGGGUCGACGGUGAGAGACGGUCUUGCUGUCACUACUAGCUGGAUACGCGCCGGAUUGGCUAGUUGGGAAGGUAAAGGCCUACCAAGGGAACGAUGCGUGUGCGACCUGUUGGGGGGGUCGCCCACACUGGAGCGGAGCCGCGGACCAGACGCCUGCGGGAGGCCGCAGUAGGGUAUCUUCCGCAGUGGGCGAAAGCCUUGCGCAGCAGCGCCGCGUGAGUGAAGACGGUCUUCCGAUCGUAAUACCCUGUUUUUAGUGGAGAACAAAUUUGGAAUUUACUAUGCACGUCUUGACGGUACCGAAUCAGAAAGCCACGGCUAACUACGUG